rnacentral:rRNA from 1 species
AGGAACACGUGAAGAAUCUGCCCUUCACUCUGGAAUAACUCCGGGAAACCGGAGCUAAUACCGGAUACUCAAAUCUGGCGGCAUCGCUGGAUUUGGAAAGUUUUUCGGUUGAAGAUGACCUCGCGGCCUAUCAGCUUGUUGGUGAGGUAAUGGCUCACCAAGGCGACGACGGGUAGCCGGCCUGAGAGGGCGACCGGCCACACUGGGACUGAGACACGGCCCAGACUCC